UAGGUAAGGGAAGUCAGCAAUUCAGAUACAUAACUUCCGGAUAAGGAUUGAGCUGGGUGCCUGCCACAGUUGGAUGAGGUGCCCUGGUGGCCUUUCUCCUCUGGGAUGUGAUAUGGUGGUUGGUGACUCUGGACUUGUGCCAGGCCCUUCCUGAGGAUUGCCUGGCUGUGUUGAAUGCUAUUACCCUGUUCUGUCCCCUCUGUGCCUUUCUUCCUGCUCUGGUGGGGAGGAUGUGGUGCAGAAGGGCUGCCAGGGUGGGGUGUGUGGCCUCGGCUGGUGCUUAGCAGCUAACUUACAACUUGGGAAUCUAACUGUUUAAUUAAACAGCAUCAUGAAGGCCUGAGGUGGGUGUUGAUGCAAUGUGAAUUCUGCCCAGUGCUCUGAAUGUCAAGGUGAAGAAAUUCAAUGGAAGACUGGGUAAGCAGUGGGAGUAACUAUGUGACUCUCUUAAAGGAAUAGUCUAGUGUAAAAAUAAAAAUUGAAUAAAUAGAUAGGCUGUGCAAAAUAAAAAAUGUUUCUACUAUAGUUAGUUA
rnacentral:ncRNA from 1 species